rnacentral:rRNA from 1 species
CGCUGGCGGCGUGCUUAACACAUGCAAGUCGAACGGAGAGCUUGCUUCUCGAUCAGUGGCGAACGGGUGAGUAAACACGUGAGCAUCUGCCCUUGACUCUGGGAUAAGCGUUGGAAACGACGUCUAAUACCGGAUAGGGGCAUUGAAAGAAUUUUGGUCAAGGAUGAGCUCGCGGCCUAUCAGCUAGUUGGUGAGGUAAUGGUCACCAAGGCGCGACGGGUAGCCGGCCUGAGAGGGUGACCGGCCACACUGGGACUGAGACACGGCCCAGACUCCUACGGGAGGCAGCAGUGGGGAAUAUUGCACAAUGGGCGAAAGCCUGAUGCAGCAACGCCGCGUGAGGGACGACGGCCUUCGGGUUGUAAACCUCUUUUAGUAGGGAAGAACAAGUGACGGUACCUGCAGAAAAAGCACCGGCUAACUACGUGCCAGCAGCCGCGGUAAUACGUAGGGUGCAAGCGUUGUCCGGAAUUAUUGGGCGUAAAGAGCUCGUAGGCGGUUUGUCGCGUCUGCUGUGAAACCCGAGGCUCAACCUCGGGCCUGCAGUGGGUACGGGCAGACUAGAGUGCGGUAGGGGAGAUUGGAAUUCCUGGUGUAGCGGUGGAAUGCGCAGAUAUCAGGAGGAACACCAAUGGCGAAGGCAGAUCUCUGGGCCGAACUGACGCUGAGGAGCGAAAGCAUGGGGAGCGAACAGGAUUAGAUACCCUGGUAGUCCAUGCCGUAAACGUUGGGAACAAGAUGUGGGGACCUUCCAGUCUCCGUGUCGCAGCUAACGCAUUAAGUUCCCCGCCUGGGGAGUACGGCCGCAAGGCUAAAACUCAAAGGAAUUGACGGGGGCCCGCACAAGCGGCGGAGCAUGCGGAUUAAUUCGAUGCAACGCGAAGAACCUUACCAAGGCUUGACAUAAGAGGAAACGCUGAACAGUCGCCCCGCAAUCUCUAUACAGGUGGUGCAUGGUUGUCGUCAGCUCGUGUCGUGAGAUGUUGGGUUAAGUCCCGCAACGAGCGCAACCCUCGUCCUAUGUUGCCCACGUAAUGUGGGAACUCAUGGGAUACUGCCGGGGUCAACUCGGAGGAAGGUGGGGAUGACGUCAAAUCAUCAUGCCCUUAUGUCUUGGGCUUCACGCAUGCUACAAUGGCCGGUACAAAGGGCUGCAAUACCGCAAGGUGGAGCGAAUCCCAAAGCCGGUCUCAGUUCGGAUUGAGGUCUGCAACUCGACCUCAUGAAGUCGGAGUCGCUAGUAAUCGCAGAUCAGAACGCUGCGGUGAAUACGUUCCCGGGCCUUGUACACACC